rnacentral:rRNA from 1 species
GGGAUUGCCCUAGUAACGGCGAGUGAAGCGGCAACAGCUCAAAUUUGAAAUCUGGCGCAAGCCCGAGUUGUAAUUUGUAGAGGAUGCUUCUGGGUAGCGACCGAUCUAAGUUCCUUGGAACAGGACGUCAUAGAGGGUGAGAAUCCCGUAUGUGACCGGCCCGCACCCUUUACGUAGCUCCUUCGACGAGUCGAGUUGUUUGGGAAUGCAGCUCUAAAUGGGAGGUAAAUUUCUUCUAAAGCUAAAUACCGGCCAGAGACCGAUAGCGCACAAGUAGAGUGAUCGAAAGAUGAAAAGUACUUUGGAAAGAGAGUUAAAAAGCACGUGAAAUUGUUGAAAGGGAAGCGCCUGCAACCAGACUUCGUGGCAGUGUUCCGCCGGUCUUCUGACCGGUUUAUUCUCUGUCGCGAGGCCAUCAUCGUCUCGGCCCGCCGGAUAAGACCUUGGGAAUGUAGCUCACCUUCGGGGGAGUGUUAUAGCCCAUGGUGAUGCGGCGAGGCUGGGGCGAGGUCCGCGCUUCGGCAAGGAUGAUGGCGUAAUGGUUGUCGGCGGCCCGUCUUGAAACACGGACCAAGGAGUCUAACAUCUAUGCGAGUGUUCGGGUGUCAAACCCCUACGCGUAAUGAAAGUGAACGGAGGUGGGAACCGCAAGGUGCACCAUCGACCGAUCCUGAUGUCCUCGGAUGGAUUUGAGUAAGAGCAUAGCUGUUGGGACCCGAAAGAUGGUGAACUAUGCCUGAAUAGGGUGAAGCCAGAGGAAACUCUGGUGGAGGCUCGCAGCGGUUCUGACGUGCAAAUCGAUCGUCAAAUUUGGGUAUAGGGGCG